GAUGAACGCUGGCGGCGUGCCUAAUACAUGCAAGUCGAGCGAACAGACGAGUAGCUUGCUCCUCUGACGUUAGCGGCGGACGGGUGAGUAACACGUGGAUAACCUACCUAUAAGACUGGGAUAACUUCGGGAAACCGGAGCUAAUACCGGAUAAUAUAUUGAACCGCAUGGUUCAAUAGUGAAAGACGGUUUUGCUGUCACUUAUAGAUGGAUCCGCGCCGCAUUAGCUAGUUGGUAAGGUAACGGCUUACCAAGGCAACGAUGCGUAGCCGACCUGAGAGGGUGAUCGGCCACACUGGAACUGAGACACGGUCCAGACGCCUACGGGAGGCAGCAGUAGGGAAUCUUCCGCAAUGGGCGAAAGCCUGACGGAGCAACGCCGCGUGAGUGAUGAAGGUCUUCGGAUCGUAAAGCUCGGUUAUUAGGGAAGAACAAAUGUGUAAGUAACUAUGCACGUCUUGACGGUACCUAAUCAGAAAGCCACGGCUAACUACGUG
rnacentral:rRNA from 1 species